GAAUCUUGCACAAUGGGGGGAACCCUGAUGCAGCAACGCCGCGUGAAGGAUGACGGUCUUCGGAUUGUAAACUUCUUUUCUGUGGGAAGUAGCCCGCAAGGGUUGACGGUACCAGAGGAAUCAGGCACGGCUAACUACGUGCCAGCAGCCGCGGUAAUACGUAGGUGUCGAGCGUUAUCCGGAAUUACUGGGCGUAAAGGGCACGCAGGCGGUCUGGGAAGUUCGACGUGAAAGCUUCCGGCUUAACUGGGAGAGGUCGUUGGAAACUAUCAGACUGGAGGAAGUGAGAGGGAGGCGGAAUUCCCGGUGUAGUGGUGGAAUGCGUAGAGAUCGGGAAGAACACCAGUGGCGAAAGCGGCCUUCUGGCACUUUACUGACGCUGAGGUGCGAAAGCGUGGGGAGCGAACGGG
rnacentral:rRNA from 1 species